UGCGUAGGCAGCAAGCGUUGUUCGGAGUUACUGGGCGUAAAGGGUGUGUAGGCGGUUCUUUAAGUUUGGUGUGAAAUCUCCCGGCUCAACUGGGAGGGUGCGCCGAAUACUGAGGGACUAGAGUACGGGAGAGGAAAGUGGAAUUCCUGGUGUAGCGGUGAAAUGCGUAGAUAUCAGGAAGAACACCUAUGGCGAAGGCAGCUCUCUGGGACGGUACUGACGCUGAGACGCGAAAGCGUGGGGAGCAAACAGG
rnacentral:rRNA from 1 species